AGAGUUUGAUCCUGGCUCAGAUUGAACGCUAGCGGGAUGCUUUACACAUGCAAGUCGAACGGCAGCACGAGAGAGCUUGCUCUCUUGGUGGCGAGUGGCGGACGGGUGAGUAAUAUAUCGGGACGUGCCCAGUAGCGGGGGAUAACUACUCGAAAGAGUGGCUAAUACCGCAUACGCCCUACGGGGGAAAGGGGGGGAUCGCAAGACCUCUCACUAUUGGAGCGGCCGAUAUCGGAUUAGCUAGUUGGUGGGGUAAAGGCUCACCAAGGCAACGAUCCGUAGCUGGUUUGAGAGGACGACCAGCCACACUGGGACUGAGACACGGCCCAGACUCCUACGGGAGGCAGCAGUGGGGAAUUUUGGACAAUGGGGGAAACCCUGAUCCAGCCAUCCCGCGUGUAUGAUGAAGGCCUUCGGAUUGUAAAGUACUUUUGGCAGAGAAGAAAAGGCACCCCCUAAUACGGGAUGCUGCUGACGGUAUCUGCAGAAUAAGCACCGGCUAACUACGUGCCAGCAGCCGCGGUAAUACGUAGGGUGCAAGCGUUAAUCGGAAUUACUGGGCGUAAAGCGUGUGUAGGCGGUUCGGAAAGAAAGAUGUGAAAUCCCAGGGCUCAACCUUGGAACUGCAUUUUUAACUGCCGAGCUAGAGUAUGUCAGAGGGGGGUAGAAUUCCACGUGUAGCAGUGAAAUGCGUAGAUAUGUGGAGGAAUACCGAUGGCGAAGGCAGCCCCCUGGGAUAAUACUGACGCUCAGACACGAAAGCGUGGGAGCAAACAGGAUUAGAUACCCUGGUAGUCCACGCCCUAAACGAUGUCAACUAGCUGUUGGGGCCGUUAGGCCUUAGUAGCGCAGCUAACGCGUGAAGUUGACCGCCUGGGGAGUACGGUCGCAAGAUUAAAACUCAAAGGAAUUGACGGGGACCCGCACAAGCGGUGGAUGAUGUGGAUUAAUUCGAUGCAACGCGAAAAACCUUACCUACCCUUGACAUGUCUGGAAUGCCGAAGAGAUUUGGCAGUGCUCGCAAGAGAACCGGAACACAGGUGCUGCAUGGCUGUCGUCAGCUCGUGUCGUGAGAUGUUGGGUUAAGUCCCGCAACGAGCGCAACCCUUGUCAUUAGUUGCUACGCAAGAGCACUCUAAUGAGACUGCCGGUGACAAACCGGAGGAAGGUGGGGAUGACGUCAAGUCCUCAUGGCCCUUAUGGGUAGGGCUUCACACGUCAUACAAUGGUCGGGACAGAGGGUCGCCAACCCGCGAGGGGGAGCCAAUCUCAGAAACCCGAUCGUAGUCCGGAUCGCAGUCUGCAACUCGACUGCGUGAAGUCGGAAUCGCUAGUAAUCGCGGAUCAGAAUGUCGCGGUGAAUACGUUCCCGGGUCUUGCACUCACCGCCCGUCA
rnacentral:rRNA from 1 species